GCACCGGCCCCGCCCUGCGGAGAGGAGCGAGUGCUCGGGCCCCACGCGAGGGGUUCGGCUGCGCGGCGGGGCUGAGGCGGCCGCGGCGGCCCGAGAGCAGGGAGCGGACGUUUGGUUCCUGGAACCUCGGCACUGAAGACGGCCAGGCCUCACGCACAGGCUUCCGAGCGGCUUUUGUAAUGUGGGGAGAGGAAACAACGGGCACUGAGUUAGAGUGCGGGCGCCGUGGCCGCCGCCGCCCGGGACUCACUGUAACCGCUGUGCUUCGCUGCCUGGCCCGCAGGCCCCACAGCUCCGCCUUCUUUUUCCUUAAACGUUUUGCUGCCGUCACGGAGUUUUGUCUUUGAUGAGAUUUUUAGAAUAAACUCCCAGUUUCUAAC
rnacentral:lncRNA from 1 species